GUCGUAUAUAAUUGAUAUUAUGAAAUAAAGCUUAUGUUUGCUUUUUCUGAACGUGGUCAAAUUUGUUAUCACUUGUCUUAUUGUUUCUUUUGUCUUUGGAGUUGCUAAGUGGAACUUUCAAUCACGUUUUUAAAUUCUUCAAAAGUUUUUGCGUAGAAAAGUACAGCAUUUAACCACGUUUUCCAUCUUGUAAUAUUAAGUUCGGGUGCUUAAAGUAUACCCAGCAUGACUUUUCUUAAUUUAUUUUCGAUGGUGCUUUUAGAAAAGCAUUUUUUCCU